AGGAGGAGCAAAAAGACUGACAGCAAACAGAACAACUGGACCAGGCCAAGUGGAAAGCCAAGGCACAAUCCAACAGCAAGUGGCAUGCCUGAGUAUCUCUAUUAAGGCAGAGACGAAGACAAACAGCUUGCUGUGGUCACAUCAACUACC